rnacentral:lncRNA from 1 species
GGCCGCGCGCACGUGAGGGCGCCGCUCUGCCUGUCUAAUUUUAGCUCUGAGGUGUCAGGGUCGUGUGAGGUGAGGCGGCGGGGUCGCAACGGGCUCGGGUAGGGGUCCUCACGUGACCCCGUGAGACGGCAUGCUCAGGUGGGGGGUCCCCUCAGGACUGGGGGGCCGGAGUCACGUGAGGUGAUGCGGGUCGUGAUGGGUUUGGGUAUGAGUCCCCUCACGACGAGGAUGGGGUUGCGUGAGGUGAGGCGGCAAGCCCUGGCGUGGGUCCUCUUGGUGAGUGGGGUCUUCAGGUCACGUGAAGUGACUGCACAGGGUCUCCACAGCUCGAACACGGGUCCCCUCAGGAGUGGGUCGCCAGGUUCAUCUGAGGUGAGGCGUUGUGUGGGGUGUGGGGUGUCCUCUCCGGGUCACGUAGGUGCACCGGUGGGGUCAGCCGGCAGAGCCCCGGGCAGCCGAGUCCGACUGUGUGGACAGCCUUGCUCUGCAGGUCCAGAGCAGAGAGGUGUGGCAUCUGGGUCUGUGGGCCACACCUCUUUCAACCGAAGCAAGUUCUAGAAAGUUCCCUGGUGGGUGAAACUUAUCAGAGUUUAAGUUUAGGUAGUGUUGGAUUGUAAUGAAAACUUGUGAAGAGCGAGAGUAAACGUGGUGGCUGACCCUGCGACCAGCUGAGGAGACCCUGACCCAGGGUCUUGCUGAGUGGCUUCUGAUCUAUGUAUCUUCCCUGCUGAACUCAACGAUGAUUUCUUGCAUGUCUGUGAGGAGAGGAGGAGGACAUGUCUGACAUCCAGAGUAACCAGGUCAAGGAUGUGUGGUUAGAUUGGAAGGGAAGACAUAACUGCUGCAUCUGCUUGCAUCAGCUCCACUUUGAAGACAGGAGGUGCACUGACCCCCACCCUCUCUCCCAUCUCACAUGAGGAUGACCAGAGAGGGUUGAUGUUCGAGAUUUGCCAUAAUGUGUGGGAUCAGGAACCAGAUAAAAGUUUAGUGUUGAAGAAAUGAAUGCCAGGCACCUUGUAAAAUUGGCACCGCAGCCCUGUCGUCAGAAAGUGAGCUGUUAUUUUGACACGCAGAGUUCUUUGCCAUGUCACAGUGACCUGCAUUCUGUUAGUGAGGGAGCCUUCGGUUUCACAUGGAUUGUCUCUGUAUAAGCUGUAAAAUGAUAGCCUUUGGCCUUUAUGGUAUUGGGAAACUUGAAGUGUUUAAUGAUAAAAGUGGUUUCUAAUGGUUGAGUGCUUCAGUUUCUUCUUUCCAACCCCCUGCCCCCACUUUUUAAAAGAAAGGUUGAUCGUGGAGAAUGUGACAAGAAUGAGAGAAUCUGGUGUGUUCUUUCGAUUGCUUUCUAAAAAUAAACACAACUCUUGUGAGUUCAUAUGCAAACAUGGAUGUGCAAACAGUUUAGAGCUUUAGUCCCUGUAAUUAUCCACCUCUAACCACUUUAAAGGACCUGAAGGUUGGGCUGGAGAGAUGGCUCAGCAGUUAAGAGCACUGGCUGCUCUUCCAGAGGACCACAUGGCAACUCACAACUGUCUGUAACCCCUGUUCCAGGGGACCAACUCCCUCAUACAUGCAGGCAAAACACAAUGUACAUAAAAUAAAAAUAUUAAAAAAGACUUGAAAAUUAAAAUCCAGUAUGGGCACUUUAUGUAGCAGUAGCUGGCUCUUGAGCAGUGUUUCAACCU